UUACACGUCUCCUGCAGGCACUUUGCAAC
rnacentral:piRNA from 1 species